GGGGAUGUAUCUCAGUGGCAGAGCACUUGCCUAGCAUGCAUGAGGCUCUGGGUUGAAUCCCCAGUACUGUCA
rnacentral:tRNA from 1 species